rnacentral:rRNA from 1 species
GAUGAACGCUGGCGGCGUGCUUAACACAUGCAAGUCGAACGGAAAGGCCCAAGCUUGCUUGGGUACUCGAGUGGCGAACGGGUGAGUAACACGUGGGUGAUCUGCCCUGCACUUCGGGAUAAGCCUGGGAAACUGGGUCUAAUACCGGAUAGGACCACAUUUUGGAUGGUGUGGUGGAGAGUUUUUCGGUGUGGGAUGAGCUCGCGGCCUAUCAGCUUGUUGGUGGGGUAAUGGCCUACCAAGGCGUCGACGGGUAGCCGGCCUGAGAGGGUGUACGGCCACAUUGGGACUGGGAUACGGCCCAGACUCCUACGGGAGGCAGCAGUGGGGAAUAUUGCACAAUGGGCGCAAGCCUGAUGCAGCGACGCCGCGUGGGGGAUGACGGCCUUCGGGUUGUAAACUCCUUUCGCUAGGGACGAAGCGUUAUGUGACGGUACCUGGAGAAGAAGCACCGGCUAACUACGUG